AGUGAACGCUGGCGGUAGGCCUAACACAUGCAAGUCGAACGGCAGCACAGUAAGAGCUUGCUCUUACGGGUGGCGAGUGGCGGACGGGUGAGGAAUACAUCGGAAUCUACUUUUUCGUGGGGGAUAACGUAGGGAAACUUACGCUAAUACCGCAUACGACCUACGGGUGAAAGCAGGGGAUCUUCGGACCUUGCGCGAUUGAAUGAGCCGAUGUCGGAUUAGCUAGUUGGCGGGGUAAAGGCCCACCAAGGCGACGAUCCGUAGCUGGUCUGAGAGGAUGGGCGGCCACACUGGAACUGAGACACGGUCCAGACUCCUACGGGAGGCAGCAGUGGGGAAUAUUGGACAAUGGGCGCAAGCCUGAUCCAGCCAUACCGCGUGGGUGAAGAAGGCCUUCGGGUUGUAAAGCCCUUUUGUUGGGAAAGAAAAGCAGCAGGUUAAUACCCCGCUGUUCUGACGGUACCCAAAGAAUAAGCACCGGCUAACUUCGUG
rnacentral:rRNA from 1 species